rnacentral:sRNA from 1 species
CUUCACCGAGCCGAGGAGGAGGGGGCGCUCGCGGUCACGGCCGUAGGUGGCCAGCAAUGCCUGGGCCUC